AUUGAACGCUGGCGGCAGGCCUAACACAUGCAAGUCGAGCGGGGACUUCGGUCCUAGCGGCGAACGGGUGAGUAAUGCUUGGGAAUCUGCCCAGUAGUGGGGGAUAACGUCCCGAAAGGGACGCUAAUACCGCAUACGUCCUACGGGAGAAAGAGGGGGAUCUUCGGACCUCUCGCUAUUGGAUGAGCCCAAGUCGGAUUAGCUAGUUGGUAGGGUAAUGGCCUACCAAGGCGACGAUCCGUAGCUGGUCUGAGAGGAUGAUCAGCCACACUGGAACUGAGACACGGUCCAGACUCCUACGGGAGGCAGCAGUGGGGAAUAUUGGACAAUGGGCGAAAGCCUGAUCCAGCCAUGCCGCGUGUGUGAAGAAGGCCUUCGGGUUGUAAAGCACUUUAAGCGGGGAGGAAGGUUCGCGGCCUAAUACGUCGCGGAAUGGACGUGACCCGCAGAAUAAGCACCGGCGAACUCUGU
rnacentral:rRNA from 1 species